UAUGUAGGGGGCAAGCGUUGUCCGGAAUUAUUGGGCGUAAAGAGCUCGUAGGCGGUCCGUUAAGUCGGAAGUGAAAUCUCAAGGCUCAACCUUGAAAUCGCUCUCGAUACUGGCGGACUUGAGGCAGGUAGGGGAAGGUGGAAUUCCUGGUGUAGCGGUGAAAUGCGCAGAUAUCAGGAGGAACACCGGUGGCGAAGGCGGCCUUCUGGGCCUGUUCUGACGCUGAGGCGCGAAAGCGUGGGGAGCGAACAGG
rnacentral:misc_RNA from 1 species